AUUGAACGCUGGCGGCAGGCCUAACACAUGCAAGUCGAGCGGAUGAAGGGAGCUUGCUCCUGGAUUCAGCGGCGGGCGGGUGAGUAAUGCCUAGGAAUCUGCCUGGUAGUGGGGGAUAACGUCCGGAAACGGGCGCUAAUACCGCAUACGUCCUGAGGGAGAAAGUGGGGGAUCUUCGGACCUCACGCUAUCAGAUGAGCCUAGGUCGGAUUAGCUAGUUGGUGGGGUAAAGGACUACCAAGGCGACGAUCCGUAACUGGUCUGAGAGGAUGAUCAGUCACACUGGAACUGAGACACGGUCCAGACUCCUACGGGAGGCAGCAGUGGGGAAUAUUGGACAAUGGGCGAAAGCCUGAUCCAGCCAUGCCGCGUGUGUGAAGAAGGUCUUCGGAUUGUAAAGCACUUUAAGUUGGGAGGAAGGGCAGUAAGUUAAUACCUUGCUGUUUUGACGUUACCAACAGAAUAAGCACCGGCUAACUUCGUG
rnacentral:rRNA from 1 species